rnacentral:tRNA from 1 species
GCGCGAUUGGUGAAGUGGUAUCACCCGGCCAUGCCAACGCUGGGUCGCAGGUUCGAUUCCUGCAUCGCGCA